GGCAUAUUUUUAUUUUGCCCUUUGUGCUCGGGAGGCGAGGGCGCCGGCGCCGUUGAGAAGAGGGUUUUCGCGAGGAGCAUUGCGACGAUGCCGCGGGUUUCGGCUGUGCUGUCCCCAACGGCGAAGAUGAGUAGAACGGAGCUCGCAGCGGUAAUGAGCUGGGGGACUACUUUCCUUGUCACUGGCUUUUGGCUGAUCCAGCCGUAUGACUGGUUGAAGGAGAAAUUUUCCAGGCAACCUGCUGAGGGACAAGCCGCUGGAUCUUAAGACUCUAUCAUCUACCUACAAAACUCGUCCAUAAGCAUUCGUUUUCAAUUUUUUUUCUUGAAUAACAUGGGACUGAGUUUUUAUUUUCCUGUUUAGUUUUGAUACGCAGUUUUUCUCCUGCCACGUAAGCGAAGGGUGGCGCCUGUGAAAAACCUCUUGGUUUUCUUCCGACGCUUGUGCUUGCCUGGUUUCGUGCUUGUUUUACAGCGUUGGAGAUGUCUCAAAAACCCGCCAAAUUCCUCCGCAUGAAUCCGCUUCAAUGGCUUAGUCCAACAGCCAAGGCAAGGGGUGAAGAGUAUAAGUCUGCCGUGCAAUGGAGCGCUACCACUGUUAUGACUGGAAUCUGGCUUAUUCAGCCGUGGGAUUGGUUACAUGAUAAGCUUUCGGGAAAGAAACCGACCGAGGAGAAGACAUAGUAUCAAGCUACAUGUUUCGUGAACCUCUGGCUUCUCUAUUCAAUAACAUCGCGAGUGUCCCAGUUUGUUCUCUCUCCUUUCUCUCUGUUGCCUGAUACUUGCAGUGUGGAGUCGUCAGCAUUCCAGGUGAAGAGCUUCUUUCUCUUUCGUCAUUUUUGUUUUCGUGAAACUGACUAUUUGCUUCUUCAGAAAUCCUCUUCAUCUAUAGAUAGCUAGCCGGACAAAGAGCGGUAGCAGGAUCGCCAUUGUGAAGAGCGUUACCAAAACGUUGCAAUGUGGAUGCCGGCUGGGCUCUACCUCGGGGUUAAUUAUACGGGUCACGCGGCUCCACAUUCCCCGUUUGACCGUGAUGUUGGUGACGAUCUUCCCGCAUAUCUCACACCUCCUGCAUCAUCCAGGCCUCCGCGCACCGACGAUGGGCAACUGCUAGAUCAUCUUUGCACACGCAAGCCAGCUCCAUGAGCUCGCCACGAACUUCCGGGGAUCCCAACUGGCAGACUCUACACACCAGUUCGUGAUUGUGCUGCUGCUGGGCCGAGCUUGCUGCUGUGGCUAUCUCUUGGGGCUUGGAGGAAUCGUAGGAACACGACGGCUGCUGCUCUUGGACAGUGAUAAUUACAACAACGGGGGAAGAACUUUCAGCGCUCUCUUUCGGGCUUCUCUCGUUCUCGUGGUGAAGAGACUCUUCCUUGAUUAACACCAAGACCUGUGGUGGCAGUGGCGGGGAAGCUUGUGCUUGUGGAGCUACCGCGUCUUCCAUGAGGAGAUACUCCUGGACCGAGAGACUGAGAGAAGAAUCCUUUCCUGUAGUUUGUCGUUCUAACGUUGUCUUGAUUGUUAUAGAGAAGUUUCACCUAAUAGGUAAAGGGAUGGGACUGUGGCUUUUGUCAUUGGAGAAAUCACUAGUCACGCGGUUUGAAUGGCAGCAACACGAAAGGCAAGGCUUGCAUUGAAUCGAGAAAAACUUUAGACAAGGAUCUGUACAUCGCAGCUGCCAUGCGGGGCAAAAAAUGAAAAUUCUUUUCUUCUCUUCACGACAUUUCUAUUGAUACGUUGGCGGUGCCGGUGCUGGUCACACUGAUAUAAACAGCUUAAGCUUUUCGCAUUCCUGGAAAUCGUCAAACACGCAAAGAGUGUUGGGAUAUCAUUUACUGGUACCUUGCGGAGGUUCUUGAGCGUUUCCUGGAUGAGAUUCACUUUGGCAGUCUCCUCGUCUUGGUAUUUCUGGAGUGUCGCUAGAUUGUCUUGAUUCUCUCGCAUCUCAGACAGCACCCGGUGAUACUCGAGAUUCACCUGGAGCUGCACCACCUUUCUCUGCGCGUCGGCAAUGUCUCUGGCGAGCUUCUGGAGAAGAAAGCGAAAGAAGAGUCAAAAAGGAAGAGCACGGAGGCCCUGGAGCAAGCAUCGUCUCACGGCCUUGGCUUCGACGCUGUUGGCCAGAGCGCACUGCAAGAUCCUGCUGCGAGUCUCAGCUUGCCGCAGCUUCUCGCCAUACUGCGAUUGAGCACCGGGAUCAAAACUUUGGUGGGCCGGGGCGGGAUUCUUCUGCAGCGCGACGAAGUUAUUGAUGAGCUUCUGCAGCGACAGGUUGAGCGCCUGCGAGACGAUCCUCUGCCGGCAAUACGGGCACGUCUUCUUGCGGUUCGUCACCGUGUGGAUCUCAAGGCACUGCCCAAGACGAAGAACGAGAAGAUCGCCAUUGAUGAUCCGAUUGGUGCAAACCUUUGCGCAGAAGGUGUGGCCGCACGGGUAGAGCAGGAUGG